GACUCGUCACACUAUCAUUAACUGAAUCCAUAGGUUAAUGAGGCGAACCGGGGGAACUGAAACAUCUAAGUACCCCGAGGAAAAGAAAUCAACCGAGAUUCCCCCAGUAGCGGCGAGCGAACGGGGAGGAGCCCAGAGCCUGAAUCAGCAUGUGUGUUAGUGGAAGCGUCUGGAAAGGCGCGCGAUACAGGGUGACAGCCCCGUACACAAAAGCGCAUGUGCUGUGAGCUCGAUGAGUAGGGCGGGACACGUGGUAUCCUGUCUGAAUAUGGGGGGACCAUCCUCCAAGGCUAAAUACUCCUGACUGACCGAUAGUGAACCAGUACCGUGAGGGAAAGGCGAAAAGAACCCCGGCGAGGGGAGUGAAAAAGAACCUGAAACCGUGUACGUACAAGCAGUGGGAGCACAGGUUUACCUGUGUGACUGCGUACCUUUUGUAUAAUGGGUCAGCGACUUAUAUUCUGUAGCAAGGUUAACCGAAUAGGGGAGCCGGAGGGAAACCGAGUCUUAAUUGGGCGUUAAGUUGCAGGGUAUAGACCCGAAACCCGGUGAUCUAGCCAUGGGCAGGUUGAAGGUUGGGUAACACUAACUGGAGGACCGAACCGACUAAUGUUGAAAAAUUAGCGGAUGACCUGUGGCUGGGGGUGAAAGGCCAAUCAAACCGGGAGAUAGCUGGUUCUCCCCGAAAGCU
rnacentral:rRNA from 1 species